rnacentral:lncRNA from 1 species
AUGGCCAAGCUGAUCCAGAACUGCAGUACCAUCUUUAAACCUGUGCUGGAGAGAAGACAGAUCGAAGAAAAACCUUCAAACCUCAUCAUGGUCAAAGAGGCCAACACAAACACUGAAAGCAAAGAUACGCCACCUUUCACUCCUGUUGCUAAGGCACGUGCUCCACAUGUCAAGAAGAUGAAGGUGAAGAAGAUAAAGACAGAGCCUGUGUCGAGAUCUUUUCCUCAACCGGCUCCUUCUGGUGAUCCCGUCUCCAGACCUUUGCCCCAUCUUCCAGACAGAAGCUUGGGUGCUAGUGCACGGUUUCCUCCAAACACUCCAGACCAGAGCAUCAGCUCAAGUGUUUACAGCAUGAAGCCAAGUCCUCAGACCGUAAGCCCUGCCAGAUCCACAGAGAUCAGGUCAGUGUGCUUCCCAUGGACAUUUACUACUGCGUGAACUGGUUUAUGCUUAUCAAGGCUGCAUUUCUUUGAUCCAAAAAUACAGUAAUAAUGUGAAAUAUUACAGUUUAAAACAAUUGUUUUCUAUUUGAAUAUAUUUUAAAAUGUCAUUUAUUCCUGUGAUGCAAAGCUGAAUUUCCAGCAUCAUUACUCCAGUCUUCAGUGUCACAUGAUCCUUCAGAAAUAAUAUUCAGAUUCGCUCAAGAAACUUUAUUAUUAUUAACAACCUAUUAUUAACAUCAAUACAGAAGACAGUUGUGCUGCUAUUUUGGUGGGAGCCGUGAUACAUUUUUCAGGAUUCUUGAUUAGAAAGUUAAAAAGAACAGCAUUUAUUUGAAAUAAAAAUCUUUUGUAACACUAUAAAUGUCUUAACUGUCACUUUUGAUCAAUUUAAUGUGCCCUUUUAUUGAACUUUAUUUUAUAUACCAUGUACUGUGUUUUAAAAUGUAGAGCGGCAAAGCAGUACAUAACAAUACAAAUAUAAUCAUGUGAAAUAUAUCUUAUCCAUUUGUUAAACUAUACCUAUGUAUGCAGGUUAAUUAUCUGCUUUAGGUUGUGUUCUUUAUCUUUACUGCAGGGCUACAGAAAUGCCAAAGAAAGUUAAAAGAUUCAAACCAGACAAUAAUCCAGUGAAAUCUCGAAAAGACGAGAUCAGGUGCCCACAGUUUCACAACAUUAAAAGCUCUUAAAUUCUUAUCUAAGCUGCCACAGCGCACUUGUGUCUGGGAUAUUUAUUAUUUAUUAUUUUUAAUUUUCACUGUACUUACCAUACUUCCCUAUCCUGAUCAUAAGACUACAGAUAAAUGGUUACUCAUCUGUCUCAUCAUGGAGCCUGAGCAUGUCACUGCACUGUACUUACCAAUAUUCCCUAUCCUGAUCAUAAGACACAGAUAAAUGGUUCUCAUCUGUUCUCAUCAUGGAGCCUGAGCAUGUCACUGAACAUCUUCUUUUAACGAGCUUAUAAAGAGAUCUCCAUGCCUUUUUCCUUUCUCAGCAUUUUUCCUAAGGUGAAAUUUUAAGAUUCCACUAAAAUUAACAUUUUGCUUUAAAAAAGAGUGUCAUUGUUAGAUAAGUUUGUGACUGAGUCUUUAAAAUCUAAAUAAACAAGCACUUAACAUUUUCUCUUAUCAGAUUGUUCAAUUAUAGCAGUCAUAAAUGUAACAUUUUAGUACAUUAUCCUUUUCCCCCGUCACCCAUGUCCUUUUAUGGCCCUGUAAUACAUGUUGUAAACUGACAGAAAACAUGAUGCUUGUGACUCAUAGGUUUUUACCAUUCAGCUGAAGUUAGAUGAUUCUUACAUGCUUGAAGUUAGACUACUUUCGCAGAGUCAGGUUAAGGGUUUUAAGUUAAGUCGUACAUUAGAAAUAUUAAUUCUAAUGAACAUGACAAAUAAUGGUCACACUUUAUUUUAAGGUCCUAUUCUCACUAUUAACUAUCUAUUACCUAUAACCUUUGCCUCAGUAAACUCUUAAUUUGUUGUUUAUUAAUAGUUAGUUGUUAAAUUUAGGUAUGGAAUAGGAUUAAGGGAUCUAAAAUAUGGUAAUUCUGAAUAAAUACUAAUAUGUGUGCUUUAUAAGUACUAAUAAACAGACAAUAUUAUAAUAAUAUGCAUGCUAAUAAGCAAAUAGUAUUAGUCCCUACUAAAAAUAAUUCUCUCUCUCUCUCUCUAUAUAUAUAUGUAUGCAUGUAUGUAUGUGUGUGUAUGUGUGUAUGUAUAUGUUUAUGUAUAUAUGUAUAGCUGUAGAAAGCUAGUUGUCUUUUAACUCCACUUAAUUUUUAGCCGUUUUUGUAUUAGGA